AGGCCGCCGCCCCGAAACCCUAGCCCGCCCGCCACGAUGAGAUCGCUCCGCGCGGCGCACUCCCUCGCCUCCCGCUCGCUCCUCCUCUCCGCGCGCGCUCCACGGCGCCACCGCCUCCCCCGCCGCCUCGGCCGCGGCCGCGGGCGGCGGCCGCUGGGGAACAACCCCCCGCCUCCGUCGCCGGCGCCGUCGUCGCGGGCGCUGCCGGGCGGGAUUGCCGGCGCGGUAUCCUUCUCCCUGACCUUCGCCACCGUGGCGGCCGCCGAGGUGCAGGACAAGGAGCGGCUGCCCGCGGAUCUGCUGCCGCACAACGUCGUGCUCUACCAGUACCAGGCCCGCCCCUUCUGCAACAAGGUCAUAGAUGCUCGGAGAUGAGAUUGGGAAGGGGGCGUACGGGCGCGUCUACAAGGGGCUCGACCUAGAGAACGGCGACUUCGUGGCCAUCAAGCAGGUCUCGCUCGAGAAAAUCCCGCAGGAGGAUCUCAACAUCGUCAUGGCAUGUUGACGAGGAUGAUCCAGUCCCAAUUGGCUCACCAGGAGAUACACAAUCGGUCGUGGCUUCUGACAUUGAACAUGUAAGCUCAGGGUUCUUUUCCUAAUAUGUUCAUUUCCUAAUACACAAAUAAGUGCAUCAGGAAGUGCACUUGAGAAGAAGUUGAAAGCAGUUGCAUCUACUGCUAAGAAGAGGAAGGGUGGAAGUCAGAAAGUUACUGCUUAGAUACUGUCAUCAAAUUACUGCAUAGUUACAUCAAAACUGCUUAGAUACUGUCUUAUGCAUCUGUGGAAGACAAUGCCUCUAAAACUGCAAAGUUAUGCAUCUGUGCAUGUUAGUACUGUAAUGUGACCACUGUGAUUUGUUAUUAGUACUGUAAUAUGACUUAUACCUUAACUUUGACCAAAU